rnacentral:rRNA from 1 species
CGGAACGGGUGAGUAACGCGUAAUCAACCUGCCCUUCAGAGGGGGACAACAGUUGGAAACGACUGCUAAUACCGCAUAAGCGCACAGCUUCGCAUGAAGCAGUGUGAAAAACUCCGGUGGUACAAGAUGGACCCGCGUCUGAUUAGCUGGUUGGUGAGGUAACGGCUCACCAAGGCGACGAUCAGUAGCCGGCUUGAGAGAGUGAACGGCCACAUUGGGACUGAGACACGGCCCAAACUCCUACGGGAGGCAGUAUG